GACGAACCGUGCGAACGUUUGUUCGGAAUCACUGGGCUUAAAGGGCGCGUAGGCGGGCUGUCAAGUCCGGGGUGAAAUCUUUCGGCUCAACCGGGAAAGUGCCUUGGAUACUGAUGGUCUGGAGGGAGGUAGGGGUAUGUGGAACUUCCGGUGGAGCGGUGAAAUGCGUUGAUAUCGGAAGGAACGCCGGUGGCGAAAGCGACGUACUGGACCUCUUCUGACGCUGAGGCGCGAAAGCUAGGGGAGCGAACGGG
rnacentral:rRNA from 1 species